rnacentral:tRNA from 1 species
CGUUCUGUUGUUUAGUUAGUCAAAGCACCAGUCUAGCGAAUACGGAGUCGUGGGUUCAAAUCCCACCAGAUCGC